rnacentral:rRNA from 1 species
AUGGCGGAGAUUGUGAUUCUUCUAGCCAUUAAAAAGAUCGGAAUCGCCUUGGCAAGUAGAGCGGCAGACCAUGUCAGCGUGCACUUUGCAAAGUACAAGACACAACUAUUGGAGCUACAGGGCAGUAUGGGUCGUGUUGCAAGGGAGCUUCGCAUAAUGCAUGAUGUUCUAUGUCACAUGGACAUUCGAAACUGCAACAGUCAAGUAUAUGACGGCUGGUUGGAGGAGGUACGGAAAGUAGCACAUGUGAUGGAGGACAUGGUGGAUGAGUACUUGUAUCUAGUAGGACAGAAACAUGAUACAGGGUCUUGCUUUUACCUCAAAAAGGGGUUCAGAAAACAAAGUUCUCUGCUUUCUAUGAACCAGAUAGCUGUCAAGGUGAAAGAAAUAGAGAAAGACCUUACUCACCUGUCAGAGACAAAAACCCGUUGGGUUCCCAUGAUAAACAACGGGGAUAGUGGCAGCACUAAUUACAUCGUCAAGAGGUCCCAAGAUCUAGCAAAAAUUUCACGUUCCCUUGACGAAGAAGAUCUAGUGGGGGUUGAUAAAAACAGAGAAAAACUUGAGCAGUGGUUGGCAGGCGAUGAUUUUGGACACUCUGUAAUAGCCCUGCUUGGAAUGGGAGGUCUUGGUAAAACUGCUUUAGCUGCAAAUGUGUACAAGAAGGCAAGGGAGAAAUUUCAGUGCCACGCCUGGAUCUCCGUCUCCCAAACUUAUUCUAGAGAAGAUGUCUUGAAGAAUAUAAGCAAGGAACUUUUCAAAGAUAAUGUCAGUGUUCUAUCUAAAACUCCAGCUAUGGACAUCACAUGCCUUGAAGAGACAAUGAAGAGUUUUCUGGAGCAACAAAAGUAUUUGAUCAUAUUGGAUGAUGUUUGGACUCCAGAAACAUUUGAUGACUUGUCUAGGGUGCUUACUAAUAAUGAUAAAGGUAGUAGAAUUAUAAUGACAACAAGGGAAGGCCAUGUUGCUGCACUUGCCUCUCCAGGACACAUCUUAACACUAGCACCUUUACCAGAAGAUAAGGCAUGUGAUCUCUUUUGUAAAAAAGCCUUUCCAAGAGAUACUGAUCAUGAAUGUCCUGUGGAGUUGAAGCCUUUGUCCGAACAAAUAGUUAACAAAUGCAAAGGCUUGCCCCUUGUUAUUGUAUUAGUUGGUAGCCUUUUGUGUGUGCGCGAGAAAACAGUGGAAGAAUGGAGAAGAAUUAAUGAUCAAUUGAGUUGGGAGCUAAAUAACAAUUCAAGCUUAUUUCCAGAAGACUAUCUUCUCAAAAGGAAACAACUUGUACGGUUAUGGAUAGCAGAGGGGUUCAUCGAGGGAAGGGGUGAUAGCACAUUAGAAGAAGUGGCAGAAGGCUAUCUGAAGGAGUUGAUUGAUAGAAACAUGCUGCAACUUGUUGAAAGGAAUAAUUUUGGUAGGAUGAAAAGAUUCAGAAUGCAUGACAUCUUACGUGAAUUGGCAGUUGACUUGUGCCAGAAGAACUGUUUUGGUGUUAUAUACGAGGAUAAGUGUGGGGGUUCUCUACAGAUGGAUGGACGUCGAUUGGUAAUGCAUAGAGUGAAGAAGGAUAUUCACCAGUCAUUUUCUAGCAUGCACCACCUUCGAACUGUCAUUAUACUGGAUGGCUGCAUGCCAUCAUUCACUCUACUUCCUCUGCUAUGUAAGAAAUCAAGAUAUAUGGCAGUGCUAGAAUUAAGUGGUCUACCUAUCGAGAAGCUUCCAGAUGCUAUUGGUGAUCUUUUUAAUCUCCGCCAUUUGUGUUUACGUGAUACAAAAGUGAAGGUGCUCCCGAAGUCUGUUGAGAAGCUUUCAAAUUUGUUGACACUGGACCUUCAUGGAUCUGACAUACAUGAGUUGCCUAGUGGGAUCGGGAAACUGAAGAAGCUUAGGCACUUAUUUGCUGAGAAAACAAUUGACCCAGAUUGGAGAGAGAUUCAAUGUUGCAGUGGUAUGUGUAUCCCCAAAGGUCUUGGAAAUCUAACAAACCUACAGACAUUACAAGCAUUGGAAGCACAAGAUGAGUCUGUUAGACAUUUAUGGGAGCUGACACAAGUGAGAAGUUUGAGGUUAUGGAAUGUGAAAGGAAACUACUGUGGCCGCAUCGGUGAGUCUCUAGUUCGGAUGCGCUAUUUGUCCUGCCUAGAUGUGAAUGCAAGUGCUGAGAACGAGGUUCUCUUGUUGAAUGUCUACCUGCCAAGCCUGCAAAAGCUGUAUUUGAGAGGACGACUAGCGGAAGGGGCUUUCGACGAGUCUCCUCUCUUCCAAGCUGUUGGGGGGCAGAACUUGCAUGUAUUGAAUCUAUCUUUAUCACAAUUGAGAGAAGACCCCCUGCCAUCCCUUUCUCGGUUGUCAAAUUUGACGCGUCUACAAUUCACUAGAGCCUACAACGGAGAGCAGCUGACAUUUCGCACAGGGUGGUUUCCCAAGCUAAAGAUUCUCGUUCUAAGAGACAUGCCUAAUCUGAAUCGGCUAGAGAUACAUAAAGGUGCCAUGGCGAGCCUGGAAAGAUUAGUCUUAGCCAACCUCAGCGGUAUGAUGGAGGUCCCACCUGGCAUUGAGUUUCUCAUGCCCCUCCAGCGUCUGGUCUUCCAGGAAAUCACCAAUGACUUCUUGACAUUGUUGCGCGAGUGUUCUGCAAUUCAAGGGGCCCAUGCGGUGUAUUCUCUCCGAUAUUGA